UCCCUUGUGGCUCAGCUGGUAGAGAAUCUGCCUGCAAUGCAGGAGACCUGGGUUUGAUUCCUGGGUUGGGAA
rnacentral:tRNA from 1 species